rnacentral:rRNA from 1 species
CGGACGGGUGAGUAACGCGUGGAAAACCUGCCGUAUACUGGGGGAUAACACUUAGAAAUAGGUGCUAAUACCGCAUAAGCGCACAGCUUCGCAUGAAGCGGUGUGAAAAACUCUGGUGGUAUACGAUGGUUCCGCGUCUGAUUAGCUAGUUGGUGGGGUAAUGGCCUACCAAGGCAACGAUCAGUAGCCGGCCUGAGAGGGUGAACCGGCCACAUUGGGACUGAGACACGGCCCAAACUCCUACGGAAGGCAGCAG